rnacentral:rRNA from 1 species
CCUACGGGGGGCUGCAGUGAGGAAUAUUGGUCAAUGGGCGCGAGCCUGAACCAGCCAAGUAGCGUGAAGGAUGACUGCCCUACGGGUUGUAAACUUCUUUUAUCAAGGAAUAAAGUGAGGCACGUGUGCCUUUUUGUAUGUACUUUAUGAAUAAGGAUCGGCUAACUCCGUGCCAGCAGCCGCGGUAAUACGGAGGAUCCGAGCGUUAUCCGGAUUUAUUGGGUUUAAAGGGAGCGUAGAUGGGUUGUUAAGUCAGUUGUGAAAGUUUGCGGCUCAACCGUAAAAGUGCAAUUGAUACUGGCGGCCUUGAGUACAGUUGAGGUAGGCGGAAUUCGUGGUGUAGCGGUGAAAUGCUUAGAUAUCACCAAGAACUCCGAUUGCGAAGGCAGCUUACUAAACUGCCACUGACAUUGAUGCUCGAAAGUGUGGGUAUCAAACAGGAUUAGAUACCCUUGUAGUC